AAAUAAGAAUAUUGAGAGCCAAGGAAUUCUAUCAAGCAAAGAUGUUCUACUCAGGUUUAUGAACAGUUUUCCCCCUGUAUGGCUGUACUGUUUAUUCCACUGAGCCUGGCUGCAUCCUUCUGCUUUGAUUUAUAGGGAAGGCAGAAGUCAACACCUAAAAGAUGUGACUUUUAAAACAGUUGCCUAUAAUUUCAACUCGACUUUCUAUUACCAAAACACAUACUGCUGUGAAUCCUUAUUAUCAAGCGGCAAUUGAACAUCACAAAAAGGCCAGCAGAUAAAUAGGAGCCUAACAGAAUAUACUAUCUGAAACAUAAAGUGAUGGUGAAAAGAAUUUGCAUGCUUCUCUAUGGUCAGCACUGUCGUAUACAAGUUGUAAAGAGCCCUCAAGAAUAUAUUAAAGGGAAUGUAAAUAAAUCACAGUGUUUCUAGUGUGACGUAAUUAAUCUGUG